rnacentral:rRNA from 1 species
UUAUAAAUAUUUAUUAUGUUUAUUAUUAAUAUUUUUAUUUUAGUAUUAAAUGAGAAAAAUUGAUUUUAUUAAAUUGAAAAGUUAUUUAUUUUACAAUUUUAUAAUAAUUAUAUAGUACCUUUUGUAUCAGGGUUGAUUAAAUUAAUUUUAUUUUUAUAAUAUUCCCGAAAUAAAGAUAUUUAUUUUAAAUUUUUUUUUGUUGUUUUAUUAACAUUUAUAAAUAUAAUAUGGUAGAUAGACUCUAAUCGCUCUUUAUUAUAUCUGGUUAUUUAGGAAUUCAAUUUAAUUGAUGAUUAAAGUUAGUCUUUCAUUUUAUUUAAUUUAAUCUUAUAAAAUUUGGGAUAAUCUGUUUUUUUAUUUAAAAUUUUAAUAAAUUAUUAUUUUUUUAUUUUAAAAUCUUAUAUUUAGUUCUUAAUAGAUUAAUAUUAAUAUUUUUAAUUUUAUUAAAUUUAUAUUUUUACUAAAUUUAUUAAAUAAUUUUAUAUUUUUUUUCAAUAAUGAUUAAAUUAGUAUGGUUUUAAAUUAAAAUAUAAAUAACUCGACAAAAUUAAUCUUCAACUGUUUAUCAAAAACAUUUCUUUUAGUUUAAAAUUAAAGGUAAGUUCUGCCCUAUGAUUUAUUAAUUAAAUGGCUGCAGUAUAUUGACUGUGCAAAGGUAGCAUAAUAAUUAGUCAUUUAAUUGUUGACUUGUAUGAAUGGAUACAUGAAAGAUUUAUUUUUUUUAUUUUACAAUUAAAAUUUUAUUUUUAGGUAAAAAAGCUUUAAUUAAUUUUUAGGGACGAUAAGACCCUAAAGAACUUUAUUAUAUAUUUAUUAUUAAGUAUUUUUAGCUUAUUAUUAUAUUUAUAUUUUAUAUAUUUUUUUGUUGGGGUGACAGAUAAAUUUAACUUUAUUUUUUUAAAUCAUUAAUUUAUGAUUGUUAUGAUCCAUAAUUUAGAUUAAAAGAUUAAGUUACCUUAGGGAUAACAGCGUAAUUUUAAUGGGGAGUUCAUAUUUAUAUUAAAGUUUGCGACCUCGAUGUUGAAUUAAGAUAAGAUUGAGGGGCAGGUUUUUCAUUUCUGAGUCUGUUCGACUUUUAAAUUCUUACAUGAUUUGAGUUCAAACCGGUGUAAGCCAGGUUGGUUUCUAUCUUAAAAAAUAUUUUUUUAUUUAGUACGAAAGGACCAAUAAUUACAAUUUUUUUUUGUUUAUUAUUGAAUUUAAUU